AUCCAGUUGACGAGUCUUUAAUGGGACGAAACGCGCGUCCUAGAU
rfam:Schistosoma mattheei strain Denwood, Zambia genome assembly, scaffold: SMTD_scaffold0001605